rnacentral:rRNA from 1 species
UACGUAGGGGGCAAGCGUUGUCCGGAAUUAUUGGGCGUAAAGAGCUCGUAGGCGGUUUGUCGCGUCUGCCGUGAAAGUCCGGGGCUCAACUCCGGAUCUGCGGUGGGUACGGGCAGACUAGAGUGAUGUAGGGGAGACUGGAAUUCCUGGUGUAGCGGUGAAAUGCGCAGAUAUCAGGAGGAACACCGAUGGCGAAGGCAGGUCUCUGGGCAUUAACUGACGCUGAGGAGCGAAAGCGUGGGGAGCGAACAGG